rnacentral:misc_RNA from 1 species
AAGUCGUAACAAGGUUUCCGUAGGUGAACCUGCGGAAGGAUCAUUAUCGAGUUUUGAAAGGGGUUGCAGCUGGUCUCUCCGGGGACAACGUGCUCGCCCUGCUCAAUCCAUUCAACACCUGUGCACUUUGUGAGGGUUUGGUGGUGUGUUCCCCUCCAGCGAUGGAGCCGCUUCUUCGAGGCCACUCGAGGUUGAGCCGGGGGAAACCUUCCGAUCCCUCUCGUUUCACAAAACCCUUUGAUAAAGUCUUGUCGAAUGUUAAAUGCAAUGUUAAUACAACUUUCAACAACGGAUCUCUUGGCUCUC